rnacentral:lncRNA from 1 species
ACCUAACAACAUAAUUAAAUGUAUCCUACUGUAUAAUUUCUGGAUCUUGUAAUCCUUCGAUUUUCAGUAGGAAGCACUUAAAGUUUGCCAUCCUAGUGAAAUGUUUCCACUUAAAGCACUUGCAAUAAUAAAUAUAUAGCUUAGGCCUAUUGGUUGAUAACAGCAGAUUCUGCCUCAGUGCUCCACCACUGACCGCAAGUAACCCCGCCCCUUUAUGCUAAAUAAAAGACACAAUCCUGGCCGAGGGAACAGUCGCUCUGUGAUUGGUCAGGUAAAAAGGCAUUUAUUCCCUGACAGCCCUCAUCACAUGAAUGGUUGUCUAUUAACUUGUUCAAAAAGUAUCAGGAGUUGUCAAGGCUCUGGCGAAGAGGGAAAAGUAGUUUGUUGAUUCUUUGAGACCAAGAGAGAAGUUUGUGGACACAACAGGACCUACUGGCUCAAAGCAAAAAGACGUUUACUAUUUCUACAAAGUUACUGAAAACGACAAGGAGCUAUGCGCCUAAGGAUUACGAAGGACUAUCGUGCAAAGUUUGUUGCCUGUAAACCAAUGCUUUGAGGUGAAGAUUAUUCGCCCAAAAUGUUCAAGAUUCUCACCAAGGAUAACAGCACUGUAUAAGAAGAGGACCCAAUGGUUCCAAAAGGCCUGGUGUUGCUCUUCCGCCGUCCGCCCAGAGUCUGCCGCAGCUAUUUGGACAGCAACAGGUGAAAAGGUGAGAGGAGGUUGCUGAAAUCCAUAUGACCAAGACACACCUGUCUGUCCAGGAGACGGAUACCUCACCAGAUAUGGUAGGUUUGGGGCUGAAGAGAAGAGACCGGUUGCAUGUCAUCCAUUGCUACACCUUGGUACACCUUAUUGCUCACAGCUACUAUUACUAAUACUCCUCCCCUCUAAAAAUAAGUGUUCUCUUCCUUCAUUGAGAAAUAUUCAGACUUUUCCCAUUACCUCUGAGAAGCCUGGCCAUGCUUGUUUUUCCUGGUUGGUUGCAUUCUCCAAUGCCCUGAGAGGGUGGCAGACCCAACAAUCACUAUUCCAAAUUGAGCGUGGCACAAAGAAUAUGAACAGUCAUUGGAAGACUGCCAUUGGUUGUUCUUCAGAACAGCUGAGUGGUAAUUACUCAGAGAGAGGCUGCGUUUAGACAGGCAGCCCAAUACUGAUAUUUUUUCCACUAAUUGGUCUUUUGACCAAUUACAGAUUUGUUCACGUCAGAUUUUUUUCAGAGCUGAUCUGAUUGGUCAAAACACCAAUUAGUGAAAAAAAUAUCAGAAUUGGGUUUCCUGUGUAAACGCAGCCGGAAAGAGACCGAAGAAAGUCUACUGAUCAAUUUACACAUCAGUGCCCGGUUUCCCGAUAGCAAUGAAGCUUCGUGUUACACGUGUUUUAACAAUGCAUCUUACCUACAACGGCCGAAGAUGUAACAUGCGUUUCCCAAAACACCACACAGAGAGAACGGUCGCUAAGUGCGUUGUUGGAGCAUGUGUCGAUACUGAUGGGAUGGAAAGAGAGAAAGAGCUGCUCUCGGUUCAGCUUUCUCCAUUGAAAUUUUACCUUAUUAUAAUUAUUUCACAAUACUGACGACGGAUCAGCUACUAGAAAGAUAUUACCGCCUACGGCUGCAAAUAUUGAGGUGGCUUAUUCUAAUGCUUCUCAUUAAAAAUGCAUAAAAUCACAGAUUUGGCACAUCACUGCGCAUGACUACACAUCAUGGAAUAUAUUGAGACAAAUUACAGACAGUAGACUAAAAGUAGCAAAAUAGAGCUCAAUUGAUUGAACAUGAAAUGUAUUUCAAUAUGAUUGAAAUAGGCCUAUAGUUUACGGUUUAUAUUUGAAUCCAGUCAUCUCUGUUUUCGUUUGAAGCAUCGUUUUAUACGUCGCUUGUUUGUAUCAAUUGCAAAGACUGUAUUUGUAGUCAACUUUUUUCUGAAGUUAUUGGCGGUCACAGAGAGAUGGCUUAACCAUGUGAUUCUAUGUUUCGCGGACAUCUUCUGUGUACAAAGUGAGGGCAAAAAAGCAUCACUUACGACGCACUUCUCUGUUCUAGGAGUGGUCUGAGGCAGGCAUUAGAUUACGAGCGUUUUCAAGUGCAAAGUUAACAACGAUGGUUUAGGAGAAUAGUUUGCCGAUUUAACAAUGCUCCUAAGAAGGUUCUAUCGAUGAAUUUAGCCUUAAGAUGCUUUUGGGAAACUGGGCCCAGAUCUGAUCCUAAUCCAUGUCUAUUCGAUCAUUUAAAAAUUAUUUACAGUAUCUGUCACUUUUUAGUAUCCUCAAGCCUGGUGCCCAUUCUAUUCUUGUGCACCUGGCUUGGAUUUCCCUCAUUAACAAACCGGUACAACACAUCAUGGAACCACUGAGUUCCUACGUCCACCCUACUUUCUCUACAUAUGUAAAGAAAACCAGUGUACAUUACUGAACCCUAUUCUGGUAGUGACGUUUCAGACGGGGACACAUCCCAGUUCUCAGUCCCUUAAUGUCCCCAGGCAUUGUGAAAGCGUCCCUCCACCCCUACUUCUGUCACACACAGUGCCGAGAGAAAGACGCAUUGGGCCCUUGUGGAAUGUGGCAUGUCUCUGUGAACUAUUUCCUGCUUUGUCAUAAGAGUUUUGUGUGGUGGAAACACAAAGUUUCCUUUUUUCACACCUCCUCGGUGGUGGCGCAGUGUUGGUCCUCUGCUGCAGCUGGCCUGUGCUCAGGAACAAUGACAUUCUUUAGGUUUAAGGCCCGUAAAAUAUGUCUAUUUCAAGUCAACAACCUAAUGUGUCUGUGUCACCAGCCACGUUAACUGUGAAGCACUUGCCUUCUCCAGUCUUUCAGUUUGAUGGGGCAACAUGGGGGCAGAGCGGAUCCAAUACGAGGUGAUUUACUGUAAAGCACAGUGGAAUAUCACCAUAUCUGAAAUGGAAAUAAUCAAUCUCUUAUUAGGAUGGUUAUUUCAGGACAAGUCACAAUUUGAAUAGAAAUUAAUCUAAUUUUAAAACCUUGGUCACAAAGAGUAAGACUCAAUUUAGACCCAAUCUAAAAUUAAUGAGAGCAUCUUAAGGGACACAGUGGAAUUGGCAAAACCUAGUCUAUUUAUGUUAGUUAAGGACACAAGCUGGAGACGUGAAACCCAUUAUGGAAUCUUCAGUUAAAAAGUCUACAUUACAUUGUCACGACAUUGUUGUGAUGGUAGGAAGAUGGCUUUAUGAAGGCUGCUUCCAGAAAGGGAUAACCAGGAUUUGUUACUUUUGCUCAAGUAGUGCAAUGAUUGAAUAUUGGAGUUUCAUAUUUGCUUUGUUCAACGGUUGUUGAAAUUCAAAUAGAGUGAAGUCCCAUUGGGAUGCUUGGUUUUAUUGACCAAACUCCGGAUGGGUAUGUCGAGACUCAUUACGCUCACACACAUGGCGCUUUGUCCACUUGUCAUGUUUGAAGAUUAACGUUUUACUGCUCACACAUCCCAUUGUCUUCAGAUGAUUGAUUAAACAUCUAUGUACUUUGGAUUGUAAUAUAGUAUUGAAAAGGCUUUAACUAAUUCCUAAUACUGUAACCUACAGCCCUCAUAGAGACAAGUCAUUGGGAGGAAAACCAUGAUGUAUCAAACUAAGUGUAGACAUUGUCAAUGUUGUUGUGCAGGAAUGUAGUGAUCUGGGAUCUUUCUUGACUUCAAAACAACGUUGGUAGUAUGGGAACACAUCUGCCUCUCACAGGGCAGCCAUCACUCAGGUCAGAGAGGAGAUGCAGGACUUCUAAAGGAGAAUGUGGUGGAGGAGAGGCCAACUCCAUCUGUCGGGAGAGUUUGUUCCAGCCGUGCGCCUGGCCGCACUGACGGGAUUUGAGCCCACAUGUUUGGGCCACGAGGUUGGGAGGACAGAGCAGAGAGGGACAGGGGGGGACAGAGGGGGUAGGGGGGCACUCUGGCUUCCUCCCACAGACCCCAGCAUGGUGCUCCUGGAGGCCGGUAGCUGGAGGAGUGGCCCGGGCUCCAGGCCUUUGUCACUGGGGGGAUGAGAGGAUGGGGGAGUGGGGGAAUACUGGGACCCUGCAGGGAAGGAAGCACAUAUACCCUCCUCCUCUUCUAACGACAGCAGGGGGAAAGCACAUUACAUGCUUGCAAGUCUACCCUCUACUAUUAUUGUAUUUACUGAAUCUUGCAAGGAGAUUGGUUCCUCCUCUCUUACUUUAAAUACUUUUGAUGCUCUUGUAUGGACAUGAAACACCCACAUACACACACACAUCCAAGAUAAGAUAUAUAAAAUAAUGCCUUAUGUGCAGCCAGGCAGUUUAAUCAAAAGUAUUUGUUUUUUAUAUAUAUAUUUUUAAAUAAAAGGCUAUGACAUCUCUAGUUCAGAUUGUCUCCUGUCUUUCCCCUCUAGUUUUCCCUGCCAUAGUUGUGAUAAUUGGAUUUUCUGGACACCUGUAUGAGUGCAGUAUAUCCAGCGGAUUAUAACCAGGGAAAGGGUGUCUUUCUGACAUUCUUGAUGCACAUCCAAUGAUGAGUGGGUGAUGGAGGUCCCUCUGCUGUAACCCUGACCUCCAGAGCAUAAUGACCGCUCCAAAGACAGGACCUAAGGAAAGAUGAGUCAAAUGAAACCCAUCUAGACACCACUGCUUCUGCUGCAAACAUGAUGGCAUGAUCUGUCUCUGUGAAGACAAAAACUAUGUACCUGUUGUGCAAUUCUCAGAUCAUAUGGUUCAUUUUGAAACGGUUAAACUGAAACAGUGAAACGUUUUACCAAUAGAGGUUACGCUGCUUAUGAUAUGAACUGUAUCGUCCGUUGAUGUAUUAUAUUUCAUGAUGUUACAUAUCUUCAAUAAAUGUAUUGGUGUAUUUGGUAGAAAUAUUGAGCAUUACAAUAUUUGGAAACUGGGGUAGGGAGUUCACAACCAGAGCUGGGGAAGGUAAUUGCAGGUUUUUGUUCCAGCCCUCCAGGACAGAGAAUACCCCCCUACACACACCAUUUGCCGCUGUAGGUUUAGAGAUCUACAGAUGGCCUCUGUAAAUAUCUGAAUAAGGCUAGCCUCUACCGUGUAAAUGAUAACACCAUUUCUGGUCAUAAUUUAUCUAAAUUCAGGACAUUGUGGGGUAACUCUAUCCUCCAGUAUGGUGUGUGUUAUCGUAUAUUGUUCAUGUUGUAUCACUGCAACCCUCAGGUGAUGAAACGGUCUGCCCUCUCUCGCUCUCCUUUUUCUCCAAGCUCCCAGGACAGCUUUCAGCCAUGGAUAUUCAUCCCCUUUAUUUAAAACACACACGUUCCACUGCCUACCGGUCAUUCAUCACUGCCAACUAGAGUGGGUAUGUGUGGCCAUUUAGGCUUAUUGAUUAGCCAUAUCAUUCACAGAUAUCUCUCUCAAGUAUUUACUGUGUACAUCAGCAAACAGGAACCACACAGUAAGUGGAUAUACCUCCUCACUCACACUUGAAUAUCCUCUGAGAAGAACCCAAGCAGGAAGCGUUCUCUCUGGGGGUGUCAAGUCAAGCCCAGGAGAUGGUCAGCAUCAUGACACUAAGGAAGACCCUUGAGAACCAAUCGAAGGCCCAUCUGUGUUCAGCACAGAGUGAAUCCUGUGUUUCCAGGUUUAAACUGAACGUUAUUAAAACAAGUGGGCCGAAAGGUCAGGAGAGAGCAGCCCACAAAAACAAACAAUUCAUUUGGCAUGGAGGUGUAAUGGGAUGAGAUGUGGGCUGGGGCCGGGCCUAUUGUUCUGCUGGAAUUAACCGUGGCAGGUCAUGUGUCACUGGGCACUGACCCCGGCCCCAUUCAGGAGCCCAAACUCUGCAUUAGCCACGGCCCAAAGAGAGGUCAAACAUAGUCACAAACCAGGCACACACACAGCCAGUUCUGACCAGGGCAGCACUUACAAAACAAAGAGGGGUAUUACCAUGCGGUGGUUGUGACACUGGCGGCAUCAAAGCCUUUGUGACUCAUCCGUUGGCCUGAAUCUGUUGGACUGGUGCAUAUUGGAGACAUUAAGCAUGAACGACAUACACCUAAAUACUCCUAUUUCAUCUGUGCAAAGUGUGUGAGCCGGAGGUGACUCCACUCCCCAUUCCCACAUCCAUACCUGGCUGAGGUGGAGAGUUGGAAUGAGAGUACAGAGUACAGAGUGAGUCAGAGGAGUGGGUUUGGUUCCUGUGGGGCCUGCUUGGGCAUACACUCAGACCACCCAUCAGGAUUGCUUUGUGCGGUCUAGUCUGCAUGCUUCUUUUCCUCUCUGCAGCAUGUCAGUCUCCUUGCAUGUGAAGCCAAUCGCUCGGCUGUUGUAGGCGUUUACAUUUCCACCUGACAGAUGCCUGGUGGAACAGUGGCAUGUUGUAAAAACAUCUGAUCCUUUAGCUGCAGGCUACAGAUACUGCUAAUUGAAAAAUGACCUCCCUCGAGUCAUGAACGCCUAUUACAAUAUUAUUGUUGCACAGUGCAAUCACAUUCUAUAAUUUCUCAAGACUUGGCUGCUUUGCCUCGUUUCACUGACAUUCCUCCUCUGUCCACUCGAGCGUAUAAUCACAACAUAUUUAUUGAUUAGAGGACAAACAGUAGCUAGCUCAACUGGACGGUAUCCUUUGUUUUAUUCCUAUUCAGCAUGGUGGCAGCAGUACUUCUCCCAGGUAGCUAGAUGACAGCCAGCCACAGCUAAAGCAGGCCUUUUCUCCAGCAUGGCUCUGCUGUCUCUGCCCUAAUUGAUUGGAAGGGGAAAGGCAGAACAGCUGCCCCAAAGCGCACAGCCAGAAUUAAAACUUCAAUCCCACUGCCGAACACUCAAUUUCAUCCAUGAUCCAGCAUUAUACAAAUGAGUUGAGAACAGACAGACAGGUGUAUGGUUCCCCAGUAGGGUCCCUGGGCACACUGGCCUCAGAACCACAAACUGCUCCCCUCUCUCUCCCAGCAGCACCAGGUCCUCUGUGCUCCCUAUGUGCUCCCUCUGUGCUCCCUACCUUCCUCCAGACAGCCUCCAGCCAAAACUACAACAGGCCAAUUCUAGUUUUUAGGGGAUCAAUUCACAGCACUUUUCAUUUAGGUAAGAAUCAACAAGAGGGUGUAACACUUAAAUCAUCAUCAGCCCAGUAGCUUUGCCUGCCAUUUCUGGGCCCUCUUCCACACACAUACAUUAACCAGAAUAUGCUAUAAAAUGUGUAGAAAUACUAGCCCACCAGUAAGCAGUAAGAACACGCAUAACUUUCACAGAGGACAACAAAGGAGAUGGAUAUGCAAAAGCUCAGAAUAUGUUAGAAAGUCACUGGGAUAGUUAUAGUUUUACACGACCAGUUUUAAAUUACAACUGUUUUUAAAGGUGAUAUUAGAUACAACAGAUACAUUAAGAGUGAAUUGUGUCAAAAUAACACAAAGUAACUUAUGUUUUUGACUGCUCUGGGCCUUUAAAAAUUUAUUGUCCUGUGUUUUAUAUAUAUUUCCACACUGAGGUUGGAAUAAUAGUGUGAAAUUGUGACAAUUAUGAUAAUGCCCUUUUAGUGUAAGCUGUUUGAAAAGACUGCCUGAAAUUGAAUCAUGUUUUGGUGGGAUGGCAUUUUGGCCUGCCUGCUAACAUCACCAGGCGGUAAAUUAGUUAAUAGACCAAUAAGAAAGAGAGUUCCAAACCUCUCUGCCAAACCUCUCUCUCUCUCCCACCCAGACCACUCCCAGACAGUCCUAACAAAAUUCUUGCUUGAGAAAUUUCUCUUUGCGAAGAAGCCAUUUUUGUUUAUUUUUGACCAUUUUAAUUUAAAACAAAUCACAGUAAGGUACUUAAUUGUUACCCAGGAAGGAUUUGAUAUUGAGAUAAAAAUGGCUGAAGUGGACCUUUAAGAAUCAUAACACAAUUCAGAAAUACAUUUGUAAAAAUCAACACAUUAUUGCAUCAACAUAAGCUAGACAGUGUACUGUACAGUUCAGCCAGUAGUCCAUAAAGAAGCAAUAUGUUUGCAUAAUAGUGACAUUUCUUCUGACUGUAUUAAGGAAUCUUGAUAGUUGCACAUGUGGCCUUUUCAGUGGCGAGAUGACUGGACACAUUCUUCUGAGUGCGGUGGGUCCAUGCAGCGGGCAGCCAGGCAAGGGUGAACAGAGUAGGAUCUUCACUACUAGGGCCAACACAGGCCGACUGUGUUCUCUUUUUGACUGGACGAUUGUCCUGCAUGGGACACAAGGAUCAGCCAAUCACUUAGAACCACUUUUUUUGUUCAGCUGCAACAACAAACACCAUCUUUUGACUUACUGGUUUGUACUGGUUAUAGUACAGUUGUCCAGAGGGGUUGAAACCUUUUGUGUAAGGAUUGGGAUACACACAAUGGUUUCUCAACAUAACAAGAAAACGUCUGAGUUAUUAAAUAUUGUAUCAUUGUUCCCACUUGAAAACCUGAUCAUGUACGGCAAAUGCUUUACCUAAUGAAACAUUUGUUAACAUUCUUAAAUGGACUCAUUAAAAUGUGUGAGUGUAAUCAUGCAUAAACAAAAGAAGAAGUGAAAGCUUCCCUCCACAGUUGUCCUCAUGUUGACAUAGAACUGAGUGCUCGGCGAAAUCGGCUUGUCAGGGGCCUUGUGUAGCGUGUGACAAGAAUCUUUGUAGUCAACAGAUCAUACUCAGACCCCAGCGCUACUUGCUUUCUGGUGCUGCAUACAAACUGAAUGAAUGGGAACCGGCUAGUCCCUUACUCCAAACAUUCAUCACAACUGUGCCAAACUGGGCCCAGGAUACAGAGCUCUGAAAUACAUCUUUGUCCCAAUGUUUUACAUUUCAAAAUUCACAAAAGUCAAUAAAACAAAGAUGGCCAUCCAUCUCAUAGGAGCCUGAGAUAACCUAUAAAGUCAUCACAACAACAUUUACCAACACCUAUUGUACUGUUGAAUAAACAUAAACCAUAAUCAUAUUCAAGCAAUAUGUAUUAUAUCAUACACUACACAAAAAUAGAUUAUGGCUACAUUGCAAACCCAGUAAAAAGCAUAUAAAAGGAUUCAUGUAUACAUUUCACUAAAUUAUGCUACAAAUGUAUUUUUAUCCUUAUUCUGAGUGGUUGACUAUUUAAUUUAAAAAAAUCAUAUUUGACUAUGAUCCUGCUUUUAUUGUGUUUAGUAAAGUUGAGUUGUUCACAGUGAUUCAUAAAAACAGUUUUAUAAAUAGAGAAGAGUAUCUGAGAGGGAAGUUGACUAAUUCAAUCUAGUAAUUAAUGGUGAUUUUUAAUCACCAUGGGUUUGGUGAUUAAUAGAGUGAUUGGUACCGUACAGCAGUAUCAGGGGUUCACUUCAAACGUGCUCGUCUACCAGAUCACUACAUGUCUGGGGACACCAACCUGUUCCAACACAGAACAACCAUGUCUUCACUGGACAACCUCUCUGCCUUUUCCUCUUAUAAUAUAUACUGUAUAUUCCUAAUACUGUGUUGCACCCCCCCAUUUUGCCCUCAGAACAGCCUCAAUUUGUCAGGACAUGGACUCUACAAGUUGUCAAAAGCGUUCCUCAUGGAUGCUGGCCCAUGUUGACGCUAAUGCUUCCCACGGUUGUGUCAAGUUGUCUAGAUGUCCUUUGGGUGGUGGACCAUUCUUGAUACACACGGGAAACUGUUGAGCGUGAAAAACCCAGCAGCGUUGCAGUUCUUGACACAAACCGGUGCGCCUGGCACCUACUGUACUAUCAUACCCCAUUCAAAGGCACUUAAAAAUGUUGUCUUGCCCAUUCACCCUCUGAAUGGCACACAUGCACCAUCCAUGUCUCAGUUGUCUUAAGGCUUAAAAAUCCUUCUUAAACCUGUCUCCUCCCCUUCAUCUACACUGAUGGAAGUGGAUUUAACAAGUGACAUCAAUAAGGGAUCAAAGCUUUCACCUGGUCAGUCUAUGUCAUGGAAAGAGCAGGUGUUGUUAAUGUUUUGUACUCAGUGUAUAUCGCUCUCCAUCUCUCUGCCACACAAUCAGAGAUGAUUUCCCAGUUGAGACUGGGCCUUUGAAAGUGAUGACUAAAGAGAACUGGAGCCUGCCAGGCCGUGUUUUUGGAUACUUGGGGACUGGGUUCUAGCGCGGGCCAAGCCAAGAUUAUAAAGAAUGAGCACAGGGGAGAAAAUUAAAUGGCACAUGGCAUAAGGCCACACAAGCACCUCGGCCCUCUGCUCAUCCCAUUCCCAGCAAUCUAUGAUGGAAAUGGAGGGAGAGUUUUUUUUCUUCUCUCACGCCACUUGUGUCCAAGCUGCUCUUGGAAUAAUAUUUAAAUAACCAUAAUAUUUAAAUGAAAUUCUGCUUCUUGUAUUUUUUCUAGAGUUCUAAUUUUUUAGAAAGCUUAUACACGGUCACUAUUUUUAUAGCCAUCUGUGUUAAUCAGGGUAGGCUCUAAUUAUCACCGACCGAAAAAACAACAGACCAUCAAAUAUUAUGGUAAGUCAAACCUUCUUUUUUUUUUUAUGUCAUCCAUUAUAUUUUUGGGACCUAAUAAUGUUCGAUUGGUUGUCCUUUACGAUUGACUUUUUAAAAUAAAGCUUUGGUUAGCAAGCGUUUAAGCAUGAAGAACAAGACCCUCUUGAAUUGAAUGAAGCCGGGAGGGAUUAAAUACAUUUCCUGUUCCUAAUCUGGAAAUUAGCCCUCGAAUGCCAGUGGGAAAAGACAGGCACUUUUCUUGGGGAUUUUUAACCAUUUGAAGGAAACAAUGUGACCGAGACAUGGAACCCGGAACCCAGAGGCCUGGUUGGUUGGGGCUGGGGUUGGGAACAGAACAGAGCAGACAAGGACAGACCAGGACAGAACUUUCAGGUCCAUUAGAGUGGAAUGUGGCUGGGGGUUGGUAUGAGAUAAAACAUGCAGGGGAAAGAGCCUGCCAUCCUUCCCCCCUCAUUGAGCGACCGCGUCCUUGAGGUCCCAUUCAUGGAAUCCCACUAAUGAGAGUGGAAAUGUCAGCUAUGAUACACUCAGAGGAUAGAAGGGAAACAGAGCGCCACACAAAGCUCUUUUAUGAGGCCUGCCUUCUAUUUCCUCUGCACUUGUUUUCCAACUCUUUUAUAACUUGAUUAGUGGGCCCUUUCACACAUUCUCACAUGCAGAAAGAGAGCUAUUUGCUUAUAGAUUAUUUUUAGUAAAGCACAGACUGCCCUCAUUGUAUUGGGUGGUGGUAAUGGUGGUAGUGGUGGUGAUGGUGGUGUAGGGGUUGUAUGGUUAGGGGAUUGGAAUUGAUUGCCUAUCUGAAUGGUGUCUUCCAGUUGGGAAAACACAGACUCUAUAAUGCAUGCUUGGCUGGUCUGUGACAGUGGUGCUUCUACUUUCUUAACAGAGGACCACUGAUGGGGGAGGGCACAGCAAUGACAAUAAUUAUACUGAGAGAGCACAGUUAGUUGAAAGCUAAAAGUGACAUGAAGCUGGUGUGGCUGUUGGGCACACAUGAUGAGCAAGAGCCCACUGGUCUUCAUGUUGUCAUCUCCACUGAAGCAGCUGACCUUGUAGUGCCAAAGAGUAAGAGUAAUGUGUUCCUUGAACUGAUCUGAGAGCCAAAGGACUGGCUGUACACAUGGCAAAGUAGGUUACAUAGUUAAUUAAGAAAACUUGGCUCUAAAUCCGCUAAGUCAAGUUACCCCCCAUAGAGACAGUGGAAAUAACAUUGGGAGAUAGGAAAUCACUAAAUCCUGUGUAAAAUUAUAAAAAGAUGGACCUGUCAAAAACGGAGUCUGGCGCCUACGAGAAUGGCAUUAGAUAAAUUAACCUCCACACGACUCCAGAAGGGGAUGUGUGGUUAGGACAGCCAGCUCUACAUACU